AGUGAACGCUGGCGGUAGGCCUAACACAUGCAAGUCGAACGGCAGCACAGUAAGAGCUUGCUCUUACGGGUGGCGAGUGGCGGACGGGCGAGGAAUACAUCGGAAUCUACUUUUUCGUGGGGGAUAACGUAGGGAAACUUACGCUAAUACCGCAUACGACCUACGGGUGAAAGCAUGGGAUCUUCGGACCUUGCGCGAUUGAAUGAGCCGAUGUCGGAUUAGCUAGUUGGCGGGGUAAAGGCCCACCAAGGCGACGAUCCGUAGCUGGUCUGAGAGGAUGAUCAGCCACACUGGAACUGAGACACGGUCCAGACUCCUACGGGAGGCAGCAGUGGGGAAUAUUGGACAAUGGGCGCAAGCCUGAUCCAGCCAUACCGCGUGGGUGAAGAAGGCCUUCGGGUUGUAAAGCCCUUUUGUUGGGAAAGAAAAGCAGCAGGUUAAUACCCCGCUGUUCUGACGGUACCCAAAGAAUAAGCACCGGCUAACUUCGUG
rnacentral:rRNA from 1 species